UACGGAGGGUGCAAGCGUUAAUCGGAAUCACUGGGCGUAAAGCGCGCGUAGGCCGUUUGGUAAGUCGGACGUGAAAGCCCUCGGCUCAACCGAGGAAUUGCGUUCGAAACUGCUGAACUUGAGUCCUGGAGAGGGUGGCGGAAUUCCGGGUGUAGGAGUGAAAUCCGUAGAUAUCCGGAGGAACACCGGUGGCGAAGGCGGCCACCUGGACAGGUACUGACGCUGAGGUGCGAAAGUGUGGGGAUCAAACAGG
rnacentral:rRNA from 1 species